GUCUGGGCUGUGGUGCAGUGGGUCAGUGCACCUGGCUGUUAACCAAAAGAUUGGUGGUUUGAGCCUAUCCAGGGAUG